GGAGGUUUCUGAGUUUGUGCUGAAAGCUGUAACAUGUAUUGAGGUUUGGUUUUGGUGUUUGUAACAUGCAGAGAUAUGAGAGGAGGAAGAGGCUGAAGGAGGAGCAACACUGUCACAGAGCAGAGCAGAAAAGGACUCCCACUGUCAGAUACAUUCAAUAUCUGAAGCAUACAGAACAGAUAGUGUGUGGAAGAUGCUGUCACUGCAUUACUGGCUCAUGUUUCCUUUGUUUCUGAUCACACUAACAGGUGUCAGCUGUGAUCAGCUCACUGCAGUCAAGGAUGAAGAGUCCACUUUAGAAGGAAACACUCUCACUCUGUCCUACAUUUAUCCCAAAAUUUCUCCUGGUAAUGACUUUUUUUGGUAUCAGCAAUAUCCAGGAAAACCACCAGAGUUCCUCAUCUACAUAUCAGGCAUGAAUAUUUCAAGAAAGUCAGAGUUUCUGAAAUCAGCUGCAAGAUUCUCCACAAAACUGUCUGGAAAAAACCGUCUGGAUCUUCAGAUCUCCUCUGCUGCAGUGACAGACUCUGCUGUGUACUACUGUGCUGUGAGGCCCACAGUGACAGGAAACACCAAAACUCUGUGCAAAAACCUUUGGAGCAAAGACAACAGAAUACUCCACAACAUCCACUAGAGGGAGCCACACACUGUUAAACCACUUUUUACUUUUUCAGCACUGUAUAUUUUUCUCUUCCACUGACUUCACUAUUUUGUGGGCUCUGCCCACAAAGGUCAAGUUCAACCAAUGAGAUGAUUUCUGUCUGCAGAGC